rnacentral:rRNA from 1 species
UGGGGAAUAUUGCACAAUGGGGGAAACCCUGAUGCAGCAACGCCGCGUGAAGGACGACGGUUUUCGGAUUGUAAACUUCUUUUCUUAGUGACGAAGACAGUGACGGUAGCUAAGGAAUAAGCAUCGGCUAACUACGUGCCAGCAGCCGCGGUAAUACGUAGGAUGCAAGCGUUAUCCGGAUUUACUGGGUGUAAAGGGAGCGCAGGCGGGACUGCAAGUUGGAUGUGAAAUACCGUGGCUUAACCACGGAACUGCAUCCAAAACUGUAGUUCUUGAGUGAAGUAGAGGCAAGCGGAAUUCCGAGUGUAGCGGUGAAAUGCGUAGAUAUUCGGAGGAACACCAGUGGCGAAGGCGGCUUGCUGGGCUUUAACUGACGCUGAGGCUCGAAAGUGUGGGGAGCAAACAGGAUUAGAUACCCUGGUAGUCCACACUGUAAACGAUGAUAGCUAGGUGUGGGGGGUCUGACCCCUUCCGUGCCGGAGUUAACGCAAUAAGCUAUCCACCUGGGGAGUACGACCGCAAGGUUGAAACUCAAAGGAAUUGACGGGGGCCCGCACAAGCAGUGGAUUAUGUGGUUUAAUUCGAAGCAACGCGAAGAACCUUACCAGGUCUUGACAUCCGACUAACGAGAUAGAGAUAUGUCAGGUGCCCUUCGGGGAAAGUCGAGACAGGUGGUGCAUGGUUGUCGUCAGCUCGUGUCGUGAGAUGUUGGGUUAAGUCCCGCAACGAGCGCAACCCCUGCCAUUAGUUGCUACGCAAGAGCACUCUAAUGGGACCGCUACCGACAAGGUGGAGGAAGGUGGGGACGACGUCAAAUCAUCAUGCCCCUUAUGACCUGGGCUACACACGUAAUACAAUGGCCGUUAACAGAGGGAAGCAAAGCGGUGACGCAGAGCAAAACCCUAAAAACGGUCCCAGUUCGGACUGUAGGCUGCAACCCGCCUACACGAAGUUGGAAUUGCUAGUAAUCGCGGAUCAGCAUGCCGCGGUGAAUACGUUCCC